AGAGAGGUCAAUUUCGGGAGGAGAGGUGGCCGAAAGAGAGGUCAAUUUCGGGAGGAGAGGUGGCCGAAAGAGAGGUCAAUUUCGGGAGGAGAGGUGGCCGAAAGAGAGGUCAAUUUCGGGAGGAGAGGUGGCCGAAAGAGAGGUCAAUUUCGGGAGGAGAGGUGGCCGAAAGAGAGGUCAAUUUCGGGAGGAGAGGUGGCCGAAAGAGAGGUCAAUUUCGGGAGGAGAGGUGGCCGAAAGAGAGGUCAAUUUCGGGAGGAGAGGUGGCCGAAAGAGAGGUCAAUUUCGGGAGGAGAGGUGGCCGAAAGAGAGGUCAAUUUCGGGAGGAGAGGUGGCCGAAAGAGAGGUCAAUUUCGGGAGGAGAGGUGGCCGAAAGAGAGGUCAAUUUCGGGAGGAGAGGUGUCCAGAUGAUCACUCUAUACUUUCAGCAAGAUUUUGGGGUAUGGCUGCGCAAUCAACCAUCGUAAGAGGUUUUCCCGCAGCUUACCGUCAUCCACACACUACGAUUUUGGUCCAGUUUUAGAGAGAAUGAAGUUACUAGAGAAUGGGCCGAGGCAAUGACCUCUGUGGUACUCGACCAGCUCCUUGCAGUUCUGCCUACUUAAGAACAGACCUUCGUUUUCCUCCUGCAAGUCAAGAAAGAAGAGAAGGAGGAGGAAAAGGAGG